rnacentral:rRNA from 1 species
UACGGAGGGAGCUAGCGUUGUUCGGAAUUACUGGGCGUAAAGCGCACGUAGGCGGCUUUGUAAGUCAGAGGUGAAAGCCUGGAGCUCAACUCCAGAACUGCCUUUGAGACUGCAUCGCUCGAAUCCGGGAGAGGUGAGUGGAAUUCCGAGUGUAGAGGUGAAAUUCGUAGAUAUUCGGAGGAACACCAGUGGCGAAGGCGGCUCACUGGCUCGAUACUGACGCUGAGGUGCGAAAGCGUGGGGAGCAAACAGG